ACUAUUCCUAUCCCAACCUUUCUGUGGUGCAACGAAUAAAAAUUAGAGAGAGAGAGAGAGGAGAGAGAGAGAAAAAAGGCUUUUAAAUUUUCUUUGGUCUUGCUCUUGUUCUUCGUAGUAGUAUUUUGUGUUCUUGCACUGUCUCUCUUUCUCUGUCUACCGUUGUCCUUUGUCAAAUCUCACCUUCACAAACCACUUGUGUUGCUCUGGGAUUUUCAGUCUAAUCUUGUUUUCUUUGUAUUUUUUGACGAAGAGAGAGCAAUUUUUUCUUGCACCGAUGAGGAUCAGGAAAAGAAAGGUUCCGUUUCCUCUCUCGUCUCUUUCUCCAGUCCCUCUUUCAGAUCCCCACUUGAGCCGCUCUUCCUCCGACCAACUUCAACUACUUCGCAGCAACCCACAUCAGAAUUUCUCCUCACAAGAUGCUAAAGCUUCUUACUUUACUUCCCAGUCGUCUGAUCAACCCAAUUACCCGAUCGGAGGUCCGCCCAACGCCCAAGAUUGUUCUGAUGGUUCUUGGAAGCAAGAGGAUAAGAAGGUUUUGAUGCAAGAUGAGGAGGUUAAAGGGGGAGAAGGAGAGAAGAGUAAUGAUACCAGGAAAGCAAGUUUCUUGGGUGCAAAAACAUCAACUAUGGCUUUUCAAAAAUCAACUUCUUCUCAUCAAGAUGGGAGAUGGAGAUGGUGUGAGGGAGAGAAAGCAUUUCCAGUCAAAAAGAGAAGAGGGAGCUUUGAAACAAGAUCAAACGAAGAAACUCUGAUUGAGAAAGAUAAAAAAAUGAAGACAAAAAUGAAGACCAGGAUGAACAAGAAAUGCAUGCAAAGAAAUGGCAGUGAAGAAUUAGAAGAAGAUGGAGAUGAGGAAACCAAGGUUGAUGAUCAUAGAACUAGUUCCAGUGUAAAAAAGAGGGUUAGAGGGGGUGCACUUUCGGAGGGAUCACGGUGCAGUCGGGUCAAUGGGAGAGGAUGGAGAUGUUGCCAACAAACUCUUGUGGGCUACUCUCUCUGUGAGCAUCACCUGGGCAAAGGAAGGCUGAGAAGCAUGACCAGCGUUCGAAGCCGAUCCAUGGCUGAAACUGCAACAAAUAAGGGAGAAUCCCAGCCAUUAUCAAGCCCUCCAAUGCCACUAGCAGGAGAAGAAACAAAAGGGAUAUCGUUAGAUGAUAAAGUAAUUGGUGCUGUACAUGAAGAUGAAGAGGUGAUCAAGAAGCCAUUGAUAACGACCAAGAAAAAACAGAAGCUUGGUAUGGUGAAAGCUCGAUCAAUAAGCAGCUUGCUGGGCCAAUCAAAUAAUGCAAUUGAACUGUCAGAGAACGACGAGUAGGGCAGGCAGGCCAGGAGAGAGGAUUAUUUCAUGUUCUUGUGUGAAAAUUUAGAGUGGAGAUUGUAUUGCAGCUUAGUGCAAUUAUUAAACGCAACGAAGAAGGUUUUGCUGAAGCAUAUCAAUUAUCAACCAAAGGAAAUACACGUGUGAAGUAGUAUUAGAAGAUUUAUGUUGUUGUUAGUGCGUACAUGUUGAAUAACAUAUGGACGAAAUCAAAGCAACAUGGAAUUAACUGGGGAAAUUUUUGUGGGGUCUUCAUGCAUCAAUUAAUUAUAUAUUUAUAUUUUUCUUUUCCA